rnacentral:rRNA from 1 species
GAGUAAUGUCUGGGAAACUGCCUGAUGGAGGGGGAUAACUACUGGAAACGGUAGCUAAUACCGCAUAACGUCGCAAGACCAAAGAGGGGGACCUUCGGGCCUCUUGCCAUCAGAUGUGCCCAGAUGGGAUUAGCUAGUAGGUGGGGUAAUGGCUCACCUAGGCGACGAUCCCUAGCUGGUCUGAGAGGAUGACCAGCCACACUGGAACUGAGACACGGUCCAGACUCCUACGGGAGGCAGCAGUGGGGAAUAUUGCACAAUGGGCGCAAGCCUGAUGCAGCCAUGCCGCGUGUGUGAAGAAGGCCUUCGGGUUGUAAAGCACUUUCAGCGAGGAGGAAGGUGGUGAACUUAAUA